UACAGAGGUCCCAAGCGUUGUUCGGAUUCACUGGGCGUAAAGGGUGUGUAGGCGGGCUGUUAAGUCAGUGGUGAAAUCUCCGGGCUCAACCCGGAAACUGCCAUUGAUACUAAUGGUCUUGAAUUUUGUUGAGGUAGGCGGAAUAAGUCAUGUAGCGGUGAAAUGCAUAGAUAUGACUUAGAACACCAAUUGCGAAGGCAGCUUGCUAAACAAAUAUUGACGCUGAGGCACGAAAGCGUGGGGAUCAAACAGG
rnacentral:rRNA from 1 species